rnacentral:rRNA from 1 species
UACGUAGGGCGCAAGCGUUGUCCGGAAUUAUUGGGCGUAAAGAGCUCGUAGGCGGCCUGUUGCGUCCGCUGUGAAAUCCCGGGGCUUAACCCCGGGCGUGCAGUGGAUACGGGCAGGCUGGAGGCAGGCAGGGGAGAACGGAAUUCCCGGUGUAGCGGUGAAAUGCGCAGAUAUCGGGAGGAACACCGGUGGCGAAGGCGGUUCUCUGGGCCUGUACUGACGCUGAGGAGCUAAAGCGUGGGGAGCGAACAGG